AAAGUCGUAACAAGGUUUCCGUAGGUGAACCUGCGGAAGGAUCAUUACCGAAUGAGCUGUGCGUCACUGUGGUAGACACACUGUGCACCUUCUUGUAGUAGACCAUUCAAUAGUCUGCCAUCAGAAUUCGAUGGGAAUCUCGGAUGCUGUGUUGUGGCGGGCUUUUUGGUCUCCUACGUCUUCUUUUUUUCACCACACAAAACCUGUCGUCGUAUGGUGUUGCGCUUGAACACAUAUAACAUAACUUUCAACAACGGAUCUCUUGGCUCUC
rnacentral:misc_RNA from 1 species